CCCACCAGGCGUGGGGAUGGUCGAGCGUCACCAGAAUGAUGCAGGGUGGAAGGCACACGCCACAGCUCCCUCGCUCUAGAAGGAUAUUUUUUUGAGAAGUCUACCUGCUCCCCAGAGGCAUGGGGCAGCCUAAUUCUCUCUUCCCCUCUUUUCUUUCUUCGCUCUCAAUUCCCCAUCUGUGAGUCACUCGGUAUCAGUCCACUAAACUCUUCUCAGCCCAUGUCAGCAGGAACCAGCUGGCUUUGUGGGGGAAAAUACCAACCCAGCUGUCUGCACAAGGAUGGGAAGAAUUAGAACCUUGGGUCCCAUACCUCCAGCUCACAUCUGGAGAAACUGAAGGGGAGACUUUCAAAUUUGGGGUCAAGGAAGCCUUGUAGCUUUUUGAUUAACAGCACGAGUUCUUGAGUCACCUGGCCUGGAAGAAAAAGCCCGCCUCGGCCGUUUAGUUACUGAUUGAUUUCGACCCAUCACUUCACUUGCCAAGCUUCAGCUCCUCCUCUCUGACUAUAGGACAAGAUCAGUACCAUGCUCCUAAGACCAGUGAUGCUGCAAAAUGCAUAAUAACCUUUGGUUGUUAUUUUAGUGAUUAUUCUUCUAGAUUUCUCCUGAGAAGUCAUGCAAAACAGGAAUGUGAAUUGCAAAAAAGAUGCUGAGCAGGAAGGCACUAAAGAAAGCCUUUCUCCAAAGGGGAUGUUUAUUUCAGAGGCACACAGGGGGAAGCUCCACCAGCUGUUUUCCAGGAAAUCAUCCACUUAACCCAGGGUGAGUUCUAAAUUUUAAUGACCAGCUAGUGUGGAAGGAUUGGAAAAAGAAGAAAACAAACAAGGAUGAUGUAAAAAUCCAAUCACACACUGCAUAAACUCUGAGGUUUCUGAUAUUUAGUCUCAAGUUUGAAGACAGCUGCCACCUCCAUUAGGAAAAGAAUCACAACCAACACCAAUACUGGCAGCUAAAAGGUGGGGAUAUGGACUAGACAGAGUCCCGGCCUCCCUGGGAAACUGGUGUGAGGAAGUCCAGUCAGCAAUACAACUGAGAGAGACCCCGCUGCAACUUUGGAGGAUGGAUUAACAGGAGAGAGAGGCGAGCGUUGGAGUAGGAGACCCAACUGGCAGCCGGUCCACCGCUGUCCAGCAAAUACGGUGUGGACUCGGAAGAUCAGUGGAGACGGAGGGAGUUGGAGAGAUGCGGGAUCUGCUUUGGAGGCAGAGACAACAGAAUGGGAGAAAGGAAUCCAGGACGACGCCGACGUCUUGGGGAGGCGCUGCUGAGUGUGAGUGAGGUCCCGCCUGACCCCAGCUAGUGGGCUGCUGCCUUCUUCUGGCUUCCGUCUUAAGGAAAAGGAUCCUGGGACGUGUUGUGUGCAGUCUGCUCUGAGACGCUGACCAGCAGGAGCAGCACGCUGAUAGGCCAGCGAUGGCAGACCUCAACCAAAUAAAAUUAUGCAAAGGCAAGCUGGAAAAUCUGCACAGGGGAGAUUCACCAAGAGGAGAGGGGCCUGAUAUUUUCCGUCUAAAUCCUUAGGCCUCACUCCAGCCCACAAAGACAAGUGGCAGGAAACUUAACAGCGAUAAUCAAAUGAGCUCAGCCAGCCUCGGGAUGGUUCUUGUAAAAACUGUGUGUGUGGAGAAGGGAUGCAGGCUUUCUGCCCAGGAGAACCUAGAGAGAAAGAACUGCUCUUCCAAAAAUUCCUGAAGUCUGCUGCCAGGGGCUCAGUACAUACCUGACCAAAAAGAGAAAACUGCCCACCUAACCGGUGUGGCUGUUUCCUGGCUACUACGGACAGAAGCAGACAGAACCUUAUCAUUUCAGUUACGUCUAACUUGGACAUUAUUUUCAAGUAAAUAUUGGUAAUUUCAAGGCUCUCUCCUUGCCGUGUGACCUGGCGUGACGGACAAUGCUGUCUCCGAGGAAGCUGACUCCAUAGCAACAAGCCAGGGAAGCCUGCACCUUCCACCCAGGGGGCCUCCCACGAGCAUUUUGGAGACUCGGGACUUUGCAGUUAUCUUGUCAGGGGGUGGCUGAGGGAAGAAGCUUCUUCCUUUGCCUUCUGGGCCCCUCCCAGCGGUCUGGGUUUCUGUGGAUCACGCUGUGCUUCUCAAUGAAUCCAGCGCUGGGCAUUUUUCUCUUUUCAUUCAGGAAGUGGUGAGCUGAGCCCUGAGAUUCUUUCUGCUCCGAUGAUAUAAACAAAUUGUAGAGGAAGUCAAGUCAAAUUUUCCCUUGCUGCUUUUGUUCUCCCAACUAGCAAUUCAGAAAACAGAGCCAACUUUUUUUUUUUUUUUUUGGAUGCCUUUUAAAGAUUGCUGUUAACUGGAAAGACAAGAAACCCUUGUAGUUUAAAAAAAAAAACACUAAAUUUAUUUUUCAGAAAAGAAAUACCUUGAAGGUUAACGCUUUUUGUUUUUUUUUUUUACUUUGCAGACCAGAGUGCUUCCUUGACAUGAGUUUCACCUAACUGUUGUUCUUUCCUUCAAGUGUCAGCCAAAAGAGCAAUGAUGAGCUUGGCGUGGGCAGUGGCUGAACCCGACUGGAGACCUCUGCGGCCCUCACACACAGCCACGGGGAGCUCACAGCCAUGAUUCAGUACGGUGCACAGCAGACAGAGAGGAGACACCUUACCUGUAUCAUCUACAGAUACCGCUUGAAAAAUCACACGUAAUCAGGCCCUUCUCACAGGGGAAGCUACUCGAAGCUCUAUCACCAGCUGGUAAGAUGGCAUCUCUGGGUUUCGCUGGUGGUUCUGUGAACAUUUCCAGACCAGAGCACCUGACAAUCCAGGUGACAUGUUUACCACGCCUCUCCUAGUCCUCUAAAAACAGCAGCUCCGCGCUACCUAACUGAAGGAAAACGCAAUGGUGGGAGAUGUACUGACAUCUGCAGGGUGGCCCUGAGGUGGCUUCCCCCCCCCCCCCCGACUGUUCUGCUCCAUUAAUCCUGGUGCAAGAAAUAAGAUGUCGUGGUCACUAGGUGCCACCCCUGCUUGUCCUCCAUUGGCCCUUGCUGUACACAGGCAUACACUUCCCUUGAGCAACGUCAGAUGAGAAAGUGAUUUCAUUUCCAUCACAGGGGAGACAAACAGAAGACCCAGAGGCAGCGACUUGCUUGGAGGCCUCCAAGGUGAGAAAAUUGAGGAAUGAAAAGGAUACGUGACUUACGCAAACAAUGGCCAUGUCAUGAGAACAUUCAAGAAAAAAUCCACAUGGUGAAGAACUGAGGCCUCCAGCCAACAGCCGUGUGAGUGCACCAUCUUAGAAGCAGAUGCUCCAACUGCAGUCAAGCUUUUAGAUGCUGGCAGCCUCGACCAACAUCCUGACUGUACCGUGACUACUUGGGAGAGAGCUUGAGCCAAAACCGUCCAUCCAGACUGUUCUCAGUGAUUCCUGACCUCAGAAACUGGGUGAGAUAAGGAAUGUUUGUUAUUUUCCUAAGUUUUGGAAUAUUCUGUCACAUAGCAAGCCCUGCAGAACAGAAACUGACUCAGAGACUUUGAAAAGCAUAUGAUUACCAAAGGGCACAGGUUGGAGUCGGGGAGGGAGGGGCUUACUCUCACAUUCUGAUGUUUGUUUAAUGGGUAUUGAAUAAAUGUUUGAGAAAA